rnacentral:rRNA from 1 species
CCUACGGGUGGCAGCAGUGAGGAAUAUUGGUCAAUGGUCGGGAGACUGAACCAGCCAAGCCGCGUGAGGGAUGAAGGUACAGAGUAUCGUAAACCUCUUUUGUCAGGGAACAAAGGCGGGGACGUGUCCCCGGAUGAGUGUACCUGAAGAAAAAGCAUCGGCUAACUCCUUGCCAGCAGCCGCGGUAAUACGGAGGAUGCGAGCGUUAUCCGGAUUUAUUGGGUUUAACGGGUUCGCAGGCGGUCUGUUAAGUCAGCGGUAAAAGCCCGGGGCUCAACCCCGGCCCGCCGUUGAAACUGGCAGUCUCGAGUUGGAGAGAAGUAUGCGGAAUGCGCGGUGUAGCGGUGAAAUGCAUAGAUAUCGCGCAGAACUCCGAUUGCGAAGGCAGCAUGCCGGCUCCACACUGACGCUGAGGCACGAAAGCGUGGGUAUCGAACAGGAUUAGAUACCCGAGUAGUC